GAAGGGUCCUGUUUAUCGGGUGGAUUUUGAAAGAGAUGACGAUGGAUGAUCUUAAAACACGUUUCCAACGAUUUGGAACAAUAAUUAGCAUUGACUUCAACGAGAAAACAGACAACUUUGCAUACAUUACGUACGCAAGCAGUGCGGACGCCUACCAGGCCGUUGUGUACGGCAAAGAUCAAACACUCUUCAAAAUCUUGCGGUACGACAGGCGCAAGGCGCCUCGAUAGAAGCUGGCGGUCCUCACCAGGAGAAAAAUCCUGCACCGAGCCCCAUGUGCUCUGUGCGCCGAGCUGGAAACCGUGCACUGAGCAGCCAAGUAUCAAAUGUAAUGUAAAACAAAGUGAGAAGGUUCCAGCAUC